rnacentral:tRNA from 2 species
GCCUCGAUAGCUCAGCCGGUAGAGCACAUGGCUGUUAACCAUGGGGUCGGCAGUUCGAAUCUGCCUCGAGGCG